rnacentral:tRNA from 1 species
CUAACGAUAGUUUUUAAAAAACGUAGGCCUGUGGAGCCUAAGCUCUGCUAACUUAGCAGUCGUUGGC